rnacentral:rRNA from 1 species
UACAGAGGUCUCAAGCGUUAUCCGGAUUUACUGGGUUUAAAGGGUGCGUAGGUGGAUUUGUAAGUCAGUGGUGAAAUCUCCGGGCUUAACCCGGAAACUGCCAUUGAUACUAUAAGUCUUGAAUUAUCUGGAGGUAAGCGGAAUAUGUCAUGUAGCGGUGAAAUGCUUAGAUAUGACAUAGAACACCAAUUGCGAAGGCAGCUUACUACGGAUAUAUUGACACUGAGGCACGAAAGCGUGGGGAUCAAACAGG